UACGUAGGUGACAAGCGUUGUCCGGAUUUACUGGGCGUAAAGAGCGCGCAGGCGGUCGAUCAAGUCGAGUGUGAAAGCCCCCGGCUCAACUGGGGAGGGUCAUUCGAUACUGAUCGACUCGAAGGCAGGAGAGGGUAGUGGAAUUCCCGGUGUAGUGGUGAAAUGCGUAGAUAUCGGGAGGAACACCAGUGGCGAAGGCGACUACCUGGCCUGUUCUUGACGCUGAGACGCGAAAGCUAGGGGAGCGAACAGG
rnacentral:rRNA from 1 species